rnacentral:misc_RNA from 1 species
AAGGAUCAUCAUUGAAUCUAUUCUUAUAAACCUUUGUGAACCGUAUGUGUAAGGGCUUGUUGGUGGGAAGGAUGUCGCGCAGAGGAUUCCUCUGGGCGCGCCGCGUCCUGGCUCCGGCCAGGUGCCCGCCAGCCUGCUCGCAUUUUAACAAACUUUUAAAACAUAUACUGAUAAAAUUUGUUUAAUAAAAACAACUUUCAACAAUGGAUCUCUUGGUUCUC